rnacentral:rRNA from 1 species
AUUGAACGCUGGCGGCAGGCCUAACACAUGCAAGUCGAACGGUAACAGGAAGAAGCUUGCUUCUUUGCUUACGAGUGGCGGACGGGUGAGUCAUGUCUGGGAAACUGCCUGAUGGAGGGGGAUAACUACUGGAAACGGUAGCUAAUACCGCAUAACGUCGCAAGAGCAAAGUGGGGGACCUUCGGGCCUCUUGCCAUCGGAUGUGCCCAGAUGGGAUUAGCUAGUAGGUGGGGUAACGGCUCACCUAGGCGACGAUCCCUAGCUGGUCUGAGAGGAUGACCAGCCACACUGGAACUGAGACACGGUCCAGACUCCUACGGGAGGCAGCAGUGGGGAAUAUUGCACAAUGGGCGCAAGCCUGAUGCAGCAAUGCCGCGUGUAUGAAGAAGGCCUUCGGGUUGUAAAGUACUUUCAGCGGGGAGGAAGGGAGUAAAGUUAAUACCUUUGCUCAUUGACGUUACCCGCAGAGGAAGCACCGGCUAACUCCGUG